rnacentral:rRNA from 1 species
UACGUAGGGCGCAAGCGUUGUCCGGAAUUAUUGGGCGUAAAGAGCUCGUAGGCGGUCUGUCGCGUCGGCUGUGAAAACCCGAGGCUCAACCUCGGGCCUGCAGUCGAUACGGGCAGACUAGAGUGCUGUAGGGGAGACUGGAAUUCCUGGUGUAGCGGUGAAAUGCGCAGAUAUCAGGAGGAACACCGGUGGCGAAGGCGGGUCUCUGGACAGUUCCUGACGCUGAGGCACGAAGGUCAGGGGAGCAAACGGG